AGGAAUAUUGGUCAAUGGACGAGAGUCUGAACCAGCCAAGUAGCGUGAAGGAUGAAGGUCCUACGGAUUGUAAACUUCUUUUAUAAGGGAAUAAACCCUCCCACGUGUGGGAGCUUGUAUGUACCUUAUGAAUAAGCAUCGGCUAACUCCGUGCCAGCAGCCGCGGUAAUACGGAGGAUGCGAGCGUUAUCCGGAUUUAUUGGGUUUAAAGGGAGCGCAGACGGGUCGUUAAGUCAGCUGUGAAAGUUUGGGGCUCAACCUUAAAAUUGCAGUUGAUACUGGCGUCCUUGAGUGCGGUUGAGGUGUGCGGAAUUCGUGGUGUAGCGGUGAAAUGCUUAGAUAUCACGAAGAACUCCGAUUGCGAAGGCAGCACACUAAUCCGUAACUGACGUUCAUGCUCGAAAGUGUGGGUAUCAAACAGGAUUAGAUACCCUGGUAGUCCACACGGUAAACGAUGGAUACUCGCUGUUGGCGAUAUACGGUCAGCGGCUUAGCGAAAGCGUUAAGUAUCCCACCUGGGGAGUACGCCGGCAACGGUGAAACUCAAAGGAAUUGACGGGGGCCCGCACAAGCGGAGGAACAUGUGGUUUAAUUCGAUGAUACGCGAGGAACCUUACCCGGGCUUAAAUUGCAAAGGAAUAAUCUGGAAACAGAUUAGUCUUCGGAUCUUUGUGAAGGUGCUGCAUGGUUGUCGUCAGCUCGUGCCGUGAGGUGUCGGCUUAAGUGCCAUAACGAGCGCAACCCUCGCCGCCAGUUACUAACAGUUAAAGCUGAGGACUCUGGCGGGACUGCCAUCGUAAGAUGUGAGGAAGGUGGGGAUGACGUCAAAUCAGCACGGCCCUUACGUCCGGGGCUACACACGUGUUACAAUGGGCGGUACAGAAGGCAGCUACCUGGCGACAGGAUGCCAAUCCCUAAAGCCGCUCUCAGUUCGGACUGGAGUCUGCAACCCGACUCCACGAAGCUGGAUUCGCUAGUAAUCGCGCAUCAGCCACGGCGCGGUGAAUACGUUCCCG
rnacentral:rRNA from 1 species